rnacentral:rRNA from 1 species
UUUGAAGGGAGGGUAGAACCUGCCUUCGAAAUUUACAAGCUCUUAUCUGUGAUUAUGAAUGUUUGACUGCCGCAAGGCAAAAUUUAAUACAACUUUUAACAACGGAUCUCUUGGCUCUCGCAUCGAUGAAGAACGCAGCGAAAUGCGAUAAGUAAUGUGAAUUGCAGAAUUCAGUGAAUCAUCGAAUCUUUGAACGCACCUUGCGCUCCCUGGUAUUCCGGGGAGCACGCCUGUUCGAGUGUCAUGAAACUCUCAAACAAGAUAGAUUUGUUUCUGUCUUUGUUUGGAUUUGGACUUUGCUGUGUCAAUGCAGCUGGUCUUAAAUGUAUUAGCUGGUCCUGAUGAAGGUUUGGUUCUACUCAGCGUGAUAAUUAUCUAACGUUGAGGACAGUCUCCGGACUGGCCAGGCUCUCUUUGGAUUGCUUCUAAUCAUCUUAGGAUAAUUGCUUAAUAUCUGACCUCGAAUCAGGUGGGACUACCCGCUGAACUUAAGCAUAUCAAUAAGCGGAGGAAAAGAAACUAACAAGGAUUCCCCUAGUAACGGCGAGUGAAGCGGGAUGAGCUCAAAUUUAAAAUCUGGUAGUC